rnacentral:rRNA from 1 species
GAUGAACGCUAGCUACAGGCUUAACACAUGCAAGUCGAGGGGAAACGAUAGAGAAAGCUUGCUUUUUCUAGGCGUCGACCGGCGCACGGGUGAGUAACACGUAUCCAACCUUCCGUACACUCAGGGAUAGCCUUUCGAAAGAAAGAUUAAUACCUGAUGGUAUCUUAAGCACACAUGUAAUUAAGAUUAAAGAUUUAUCGGUGUACGAUGGGGAUGCGUUCCAUUAGGUAGUAGGCGGGGUAACGGCCCACCUAGCCAACGAUGGAUAGGGGUUCUGAGAGGAAGGUCCCCCACAUUGGAACUGAGACACGGUCCAAACUCCUACGGGAGGCAGCAGUGAGGAAUAUUGGUCAAUGGACGAGAGUCUGAACCAGCCAAGUAGCGUGAAGGAUGAAGGUCCUACGGAUUGUAAACUUCUUUAUAAGGGAAUAAACCCUCCCACGUGUGGGGGCUUGUAUGUACCUUAUGAAUAAGCAUCGGCUAACUCCGUG